AAACCGAUUUCAGCAAACUUCAGAGAGGCGUCCUGCGAAAGGUUAACCUAGGGGAGAGAUGGGUAAGAACUAAUACUCCCACUAGCAGCAGCAGCUCCGUGAGCAGCUGCCUUCUGUAUUCCUGCAGGUGCAUUUCCAGCCCGAUCGUACAUCGCUAGGUUCUCAGGCUUUGUUGUUUUCUUCUGAAGCCCAAAAAGCUUCUCUACCCUGCCACCUCUCCCUGCUCACAAACACUUAACACACACACACACACACACACACACACACACACACACACACACACACGCAAACCCACAAGCUCCUCCCAUCUGAACUACAACAUCCUCUCCUGGGUGCAAGGCUCUCCUACUGCUGUCAGGCACGAAUGAGUAAGAGCCCUCUGGAAAGGUUCGGUUUCUUAAACUCCGGUGGGGACGUGGCGGGGAGGAGUAACAACAAAACUCCAGAGGCAUUUAUGGAAUUAUACGGCACCAUUUUUGGCUAUGGGCUGUUUUCUUGGACCGCUCAGCACGUGGACACGAAUCAAACGCACUCUCUGUGAGGUUUUAUAUUUUAAGAUACGCUUCCUGAAACAGCUUGCUGGCUGCUAAGUACUGUAUUCUAGAAAAAUAGGAUUUUUUUUCCGAAAAGAGCCCUUCGUGUAUGUAACAGGCUAGUUUCUGCAGGAAACACUUUUCCAACCAAGUCUAGCUUAUGUUUUGCCUGCAACAAAAAAAAAGUGCACCGUUAUGCUUUUGUUACAGUUUAGAAUAUCCAAGCUUUGUAUCCGCACGGAGAUAACAUGCUACGUUUAUAUAUUAAAAGGAAGAAGCCUCUAUCUAAGUUGUUUUAGUUUGUGUUUUUUUCUUGUGAGAACCCUUGCAAUAAAGAGUUUGACAGUGUUUUUUCCUCUCUAAAA
rnacentral:lncRNA from 1 species